GGGUUGUGAGGUUAAGCGACUAAGCGUACACGGUGGAUGCCCUGGCAGUCAGAGGCGAUGAAGGACGUGCUAAUCUGCGAUAAGCGUCGGUAAGGUGAUAUGAACCGUUAUAACCGGCGAUUUCCGAAUGGGGAAACCCAGUGUGUUUCGACACACUAUCAUUAACUGAAUCCAUAGGUUAAUGAGGCGAACCGGGGGAACUGAAACAUCUAAGUACCCCGAGGAAAAGAAAUCAACCGAGAUUCCCCCAGUAGCGGCGAGCGAACGGGGAGCAGCCCAGAGCCUGAAUCAGUGUGUGUGUUAGUGGAAGCGUCUGGAAAGGCGCGCGAUACAGGGUGACAGCCCCGUACACAAAAAUGCACAUAUUGUGAGCUCGAUGAGUAGGGCGGGACACGUGGUAUCCUGUCUGAAUAUGGGGGGACCAUCCUCCAAGGCUAAAUACUCCUGACUGACCGAUAGUGAACCAGUACCGUGAGGGAAAGGCGAAAAGAACCCCGGCGAGGGGAGUGAAAAAGAACCUGAAACCGUGUACGUACAAGCAGUGGGAGCACGCUUCGGCGUGUGACUGCGUACCUUUUGUAUAAUGGGUCAGCGACUUAUAUUCUGUAGCAAGGUUAACCGAAUAGGGGAGCCGAAGGGAAACCGAGUCUUAACUGGGCGUUAAGUUGCAGGGUAUAGACCCGAAACCCGGUGAUCUAGCCAUGGGCAGGUUGAAGGUUGGGUAACACUAACUGGAGGACCGAACCGACUAAUGUUGAAAAAUUAGCGGAUGACUUGUGGCUGGGGGUGAAAGGCCAAUCAAACCGGGAGAUAGCUGGUUCUCCCCGAAAGCUAUUUAGGUAGCGCCUCGUGAAUUCAUCUCCGGGGGUAGAGCACUGUUUCGGCAAGGGGGUCAUCCCGACUUACCAACCCGAUGCAAACUGCGAAUACCGGAGAAUGUUAUCACGGGAGACACACGGCGGGUGCUAACGUCCGUCGUGAAGAGGGAAACAACCCAGACCGCCAGCUAAGGUCCCAAAGUCAUGGUUAAGUGGGAAACGAUGUGGGAAGGCCCAGACAGCCAGGAUGUUGGCUUAGAAGCAGCCAUCAUUUAAAGAAAGCGUAAUAGCUCACUGGUCGAGUCGGCCUGCGCGGAAGAUGUAACGGGGCUAAACCAUGCACCGAAGCUGCGGCAGCGACGCUGAUGCGUUGUUGGGUAGGGGAGCGUUCUGUAAGCCUGCGAAGGUGUGCUGUGAGGCAUGCUGGAGGUAUCAGAAGUGCGAAUGCUGACAUAAGUAACGAUAAAGCGGGUGAAAAGCCCGCUCGCCGGAAGACCAAGGGUUCCUGUCCAACGUUAAUCGGGGCAGGGUGAGUCGACCCCUAAGGCGAGGCCGAAAGGCGUAGUCGAUGGGAAACAGGUUAAUAUUCCUGUACUUGGUGUUACUGCGAAGGGGGGACGGAGAAGGCUAUGUUGGCCGGGCGACGGUUGUCCCGGUUUAAGCGUGUAGGCUGGUUUUCCAGGCAAAUCCGGAAAAUCAAGGCUGAGGCGUGAUGACGAGGCACUACGGUGCUGAAGCAACAAAUGCCCUGCUUCCAGGAAAAGCCUCUAAGCAUCAGGUAACAUCAAAUCGUACCCCAAACCGACACAGGUGGUCAGGUAGAGAAUACCAAGGCGCUUGAGAGAACUCGGGUGAAGGAACUAGGCAAAAUGGUGCCGUAACUUCGGGAGAAGGCACGCUGAUAUGUAGGUGAAGUCCCUCGCGGAUGGAGCUGAAAUCAGUCGAAGAUACCAGCUGGCUGCAACUGUUUAUUAAAAACACAGCACUGUGCAAACACGAAAGUGGACGUAUACGGUGUGACGCCUGCCCGGUGCCGGAAGGUUAAUUGAUGGGGUCAGCGCAAGCGAAGCUCUUGAUCGAAGCCCCGGUAAACGGCGGCCGUAACUAUAACGGUCCUAAGGUAGCGAAAUUCCUUGUCGGGUAAGUUCCGACCUGCACGAAUGGCGUAAUGAUGGCCAGGCUGUCUCCACCCGAGACUCAGUGAAAUUGAACUCGCUGUGAAGAUGCAGUGUACCCGCGGCAAGACGGAAAGACCCCGUGAACCUUUACUAUAGCUUGACACUGAACAUUGAGCCUUGAUGUGUAGGAUAGGUGGGAGGCUUUGAAGUGUGGACGCCAGUCUGCAUGGAGCCGACCUUGAAAUACCACCCUUUAAUGUUUGAUGUUCUAACGUUGACCCGUAAUCCGGGUUGCGGACAGUGUCUGGUGGGUAGUUUGACUGGGGCGGUCUCCUCCUAAAGAGUAACGGAGGAGCACGAAGGUUGGCUAAUCCUGGUCGGACAUCAGGAGGUUAGUGCAAUGGCAUAAGCCAGCUUGACUGCGAGCGUGACGGCGCGAGCAGGUGCGAAAGCAGGUCAUAGUGAUCCGGUGGUUCUGAAUGGAAGGGCCAUCGCUCAACGGAUAAAAGGUACUCCGGGGAUAACAGGCUGAUACCGCCCAAGAGUUCAUAUCGACGGCGGUGUUUGGCACCUCGAUGUCGGCUCAUCACAUCCUGGGGCUGAAGUAGGUCCCAAGGGUAUGGCUGUUCGCCAUUUAAAGUGGUACGCGAGCUGGGUUUAGAACGUCGUGAGACAGUUCGGUCCCUAUCUGCCGUGGGCGCUGGAGAACUGAGGGGGGCUGCUCCUAGUACGAGAGGACCGGAGUGGACGCAUCACUGGUGUUCGGGUUGUCAUGCCAAUGGCACUGCCCGGUAGCUAAAUGCGGAAGAGAUAAGUGCUGAAAGCAUCUAAGCACGAAACUUGCCCCGAGAUGAGUUCUCCCUGACCCUUUAAGGGUCCUGAAGGAACGUUGAAGACGACGACGUUGAUAGGCCGGGUGUGUAAGCGCAGCGAUGCGUUGAGCUAACCGGUACUAAUGAACCGUGAGGCUUAACCUUACAACGCCGAAG
rnacentral:rRNA from 1 species